rnacentral:tRNA from 1 species
UUUUUUUGGGUGACGGUGUGCCCGUAUAUUUUGAAAAGAUACAAGCUAUACUGGGCGGGCGGGCCGUUCAAGCCAAUCAAUUGAACC